rnacentral:rRNA from 1 species
ACACAUGCAAGUCGAGGGGCAGCAUCAUCAAAGCUUGCUUUGAUGGAUGGCGACCGGCGCACGGGUGAGUAACACGUAUCCAACCUGCCGACAACACUGGGAUAGCCUUUCGAAAGAAAGAUUAAUACCGGAUGGCAUAAUUAUUCCGCAUGGGAUAAUUAUUAAAGAAUUUCGGUUGUCGAUGGGGAUGCGUUCCAUUAGGCAGUUGGCGGGGUAACGGCCCACCAAACCUACGAUGGAUAGGGGUUCUGAGAGGAAGGUCCCCCACAUUGGAACUGAGACACGGUCCAAACUCCUACGGGAGGCAGCAGUGAGGAAUAUUGGUCAAUGGACGAGAGUCUGAGCCAGCCAAGUAGCGUGAAGGAUGACUGCCCUAUGGGUUGUAAACUUCUUUUAUACGGGAAUAAAGUUAGCCACGUGUGGCUUUUUGUAUGUACCGUAUGAAUAAGGAUCGGCUAACUCCGUGCCAGCAGCCGCGGUAAUACGGAGGAUCCGAGCGUUAUCCGGAUUUAUUGGGUUUAAAGGGAGCGUAGGCGGGUUGUUAAGUCAGUUGUGAAAGUUUGCGGCUCAACCGUAAAAUUGCAGUUGAUACUGGCGACCUUGAGUGCAACAGAGGUAGGCGGAAUUCGUGGUGUAGCGGUGAAAUGCUUAGAUAUCACGAAGAACUCCGAUUGCGAAGGCAGCUUACUGGAUUGUAACUGACGCUGAUGCUCGAAAGUGUGGGUAUCAAACAGGAUUAGAUACCCUGGUAGUCCACACAGUAAACGAUGAAUACUCGCUGUUGGCGAUAUACGGUCAGCGGCCAAGCGAAAGCAUUAAGUAUUCCACCUGGGGAGUACGCCGGCAACGGUGAAACUCAAAGGAAUUGACGGGGGCCCGCACAAGCGGAGGAACAUGUGGUUUAAUUCGAUGAUACGCGAGGAACCUUACCCGGGCUUAA